rnacentral:tRNA from 1 species
GGAGAGGUGGCAGAGCGGUUUAUUGCAGCGGUCUUGAAAACCGUCGAGCGGAUGACCUCCGUUCCGGGGGUUCGAAUCCCCCCCUCUCCGCCA